CAAGCGGCCAGCGAAAAAUAGUACAAAAAGAAGCCAACUGCAUCAAGCACAACUCCGUUUUUCAUAUGUAAACAAAUCAGUGUUUUUGAAAGAAUCACUCUCAUUCACUUCCACUGUUUCAGUUGUGAAUGACUCCAUGUUUUUAAACGGGUAAAUGACUCAAGAUAAAAUACACUCUUGUGUCACCAACUGCUGUAAAUAUGUAAUCUGCAGAAAUUGUCACUGAACAAAUCAGUGCACUAAAUCAAAAUGAAUGAUGAAUUAAAAAUCCCCACCAUGGUUUGAAAAGCUAUGAACACAGACAAGCUUGGUUUCGUUUGUAAAGUUAGGUAAAUGAAUCAUUUUCAUUCUUUCACUGUUUUGGUCAUACAGGACUUAGUGCUUUUUAACAGGUCAGUGACUCACUCAUAACAUAAAACAUGCUCUUUUGUCGCCCCAUACUCGCCUAAAGAUGUAAUCUGCAGAAAUGGUAAUUGGGCCUUAUUCAUGAAAAACAAGUGGAACAUUUUUUGUGUGAAUCAUUAGUAAAACGAUUCUUACGUAAAUCGUCCCAUUCGAUACAAUUUACACACAAAUUUGUUCUGCUUGUGUUUUAAGAAUAAGGACCAAUGAACAAAUCAGUGAACUAAAUCAAAAUGAAUGAUGAAUCAAAAUCCCCACCACUGUUUGGAAAGCCGUGAACACAGACAAGCAAAGUGAAACAAAUAGUGAAGCAUCCCAGUGCUGUUAUGCUAAAAAAAAACUCUUGAUACGUUGCUUGCCUAAUUAGAUUUGAGGACCGGAACUAACUGUUGAAUAAUAUUAUCUGAAUUACCUCAGUCUACCAUAUAAGAAAUGUGUCAUAAUUGUGUAAUAAUGAGAAAUAGCGCUUGACUUCUGUAAGUUUUACCUCCCUGCACUGACUCCUUUGAAGCCAACAGUACUCUCAAGAGGGGAACAGAAAUCUGGGAUGCAGCAUGAAUACUCGUGCUGCAAUACCUCGAACAGGAAGUGUGCAUGUCGCAAUUUCACUCUUACUUAACAGUGUAUAGACUUACAAGUAACUGAAUUUACUAACUAUAAAAAGGCCACAGUUUUCAAAAAAUUUCACAGUGGCUUUGUCCAUUCACUGACAAAUUUCCAAAGAUAUAUUCCUCUCACUGGAUACUUGCAUGGGUAAGCAUUACCACUGCAUUUCUAGUAAACUGUAGUACACUUUUGUUAGUAUAGAUGACAGAAACCAGGUACUCAGCUACUUAUAACCAUAGCUGACCACACUCAAAAAAAGGAUUUUUGCUGCUUGUUCAAUUUACUUAAUUAAAAUGAACUAAAGCAACACAGUUCUAGAACAUUUUGUCACUAUUUGAUUUCAUUGCAUUUUAUCCAUUUAAAUUUGUGAAAUUGAAGUUUACUUAAUCCAUUUGAGUUGGGACUACCUUAAUACUUUUUGAGGUUUUAAUGUAGCAUUUAUGAAAUCCUGGGGAUUUCCAUUUCCAGCAUGCUUUUCAUGUGACACGAUAGGGAGAGUAAAUGUUAAAAUAUGUGAUAUAAUUUGUUUUUGUGCAAGAUGAAUAUAAAGGGGGUGUUAUGUUGGAGUUUUGGAGGUUAACAUUAUGGUGAAGAGUGGAGCUUAAGGACAGAUGGAACCACAGUCCACUUCAACAUCUCCCUGAGCAGCGCUGUCGUUCCAAUGUGCUUCAAGACCACCACUAUCGUCCCCGUGGCAAAGAAGUCUUCAGUGUCCUGCCUCAACGACUACCGUCCCGUCGCACUCUCAUCCAUCGUCAUGAAGUGCUUUGAGAGGCUCGUCAUGAGGCACAUCAAGACCCUGCUGCCCCCCUUACUGGACCCCCUGCAGUUCGCGUAUCGUCCCAAGCACCAACAGAUGACACCAUCACCACCACCCUCCAUCUGGCUUUCACCCACUUGGAUAAAAAGGACAUGUACUGUACAUUCGAAUGCUGUUCAUAGACUUCAGUUCUGCAUUCAACACAGUCAUUCCUCAGCAUUUGAUUGGAAAGCUGAGCCUGCUGGGCCUGAACACCUCCCUCUGCAACUAGAUCCUGACUUCCUGACUGAGAGACCUCAGUCAGUCCGGAUCGGAAGCAGCAUCUUCAACAUCACUACACUGAGCACUGGGGCCCCUCAGGGCUGUGUGCUCAGUCCACUGCUGUUCAAUCUGGUAACAGUUCAAAUCACACCAACAAGUUCGCCGAUGACACAACCGUGGUGGGUCUCAUCAGCAAGAACGACGAGACAGCAUACAGAGAGGAGGUGCAGCGGCAAUGGACUGAUGCAAAGCCAACAACCUGUCUCUGAACAUGGAUAAAACAAAAGAGAUGGUUGUUGACGUCAGGAGAGCAAGGAGCGACCGCUCUCCCCUGAAUAUCGACAGCUCCGUGAAGAUCGUCAAGAGCACCAAAUUCCUUGGUGUUCACCUGGCAGAGAACCUCACCUGAUACCUCAACACCAGCUCCAUAGCCAAGAAAGCCCUGCAGCGUCUCUACUUUCUGCGAAGGCUGAGAAAAGCCCAUCUCCCACCCCUCAUCCUCACCACAUUCUAUAGAGGGACUAUCAAGAGCAUCCUGAGGAGCUGCAUCAUUGCCUGGUUUGGGAAUUGCACCAUCUUGGAUUGCAAGACCCUGCAGCGGAUAGUAAAGACAGCUGAGAAGAUCAUCGGGGUCUCUCUUUCCUCCAUCACAGACAUUUACACCACACGCUGUAUCCACAAAGCCACCAGACUGUGUAAUAGUUUCUUCCCCCAAGCCAUCAGACUCCUCAGUACACAGAGACUGGACUGACAACAACCCACACACACACACACAGUGUUACUCAACUGAACACCAUUCCACUCUCUUUGCACAUUUCUUUCUUAAAUUGCUGUUAAAACACUGUAAACAAAUACUGUAUUGACCAACUGCAUUUUUUGCUGCUAACUAGUGUGUUAUGUUCACAUUUUACAGCAUUUAUCAUUAUUUUGUAAUAUCCUUUUGCACUUUAUUCCACACCAGAACUGUAUACUGGUCGGCGUAGCCAGGGAUGUAGGUUCCGGGGGGGAUGUAACCCCCCAAUAAUCAAAACAGGCAAGUACAACCCCCCCAGUAUUUAUACCAUGAUCAAUGGAAACAUGGGUAAAGGCUUCACAUUGCAACCCCCCAAUGUUCAAGCCAAAUCUACACCCUUGGGUGUAGAUACCAAUUGUCCUGUUUUAGUAAUUAUUGUACUGUCUUGCGCUGUUUGCACAUGUGUACUUUAUGUAGUUCUGUGUAGUCUCAUGUAGUUAUGUGUUUCUUUUAUGUAGCACCAUGGACCUGGAGGAAUGUUGUUUCGUUUUACUGUGUCUUGUACCUGCUGUAAAUUGUUUAAAAAAAUGACAAUAAAGCCAUUUGACCAUUUAGGUCAGAAAAAGGGGUUUCAUAAAAAAUAAAGACAAAGUUGUAAAUAUAUUUUCAAUUUUAUUUAAUCCUGUUGUUUUAGAAGUCACAUGAAACAUGGAAUCCUUCACUAAAAAACAACAACAAAAAACAUGGAUAAAAAAAAAAAAAGUCUCUGGCAUAGGUGGUUCAAACACCCAUGCAUUUACAAUGUGCAAUACAUGUGGGCGAUUGCACACACACAUCAUCUAGUUAACAUUCAGACCUUUAUAAUAAACCAAUACAAAGAACAUUAGAAUUGGAGUGCCUUAUCUCAAAAGGCUGUGCAGA